rnacentral:rRNA from 1 species
AACGAACGCUGGCGGCAUGCCUAACACAUGCAAGUCGAACGAAGCCUUCGGGCUUAGUGGCGCACGGGUGCGUAACGCGUGGGAAUCUGCCCUUGGGUUCGGAAUAACAGUUAGAAAUGACUGCUAAUACCGGAUGAUGUCUUCGGACCAAAGAUUUAUCGCCCAAGGAUGAGCCCGCGUAGGAUUAGGUAGUUGGUGGGGGUAAUGGCCCACCAAGCCGACGAUCCUUAGCUGGUCUGAGAGGAUGAUCAGCCACACUGGGACUGAGACACGGCCCAGACUCCUACGGGAGGCAGCAGUGGGGAAUAUUGGACAAUGGGCGAAAGCCUGAUCCAGCAAUGCCGCGUGAGUGAUGAAGGCCUUAGGGUUGUAAAGCUCUUUUACCAGGGAUGAUAAUGACAGUACCUGGAGAAUAAGCUCCGGCUAACUCCGUGCCAGCAGCCGCGGUAAU